UACAGAGGGUGCAAGCGUUAAUCGGAAUUACUGGGCGUAAAGCGCGCGUAGGUGGUUCAUUAAGUUGGAUGUGAAAUCCCCGGGCUCAACCUGGGAACUGCAUCCAAAACUGGCGAGCUAGAGUAUGGUAGAGGGUGGUGGAAUUUCCUGUGUAGUGGUGAAAUGCGUAGAUAUAGGAAGGAACACCAGUGGCGAAGGCGACCACCUGGACUGAUACUGACACUGAGGUGCGAAAGCGUGGGGAGCAAACAGG
rnacentral:rRNA from 1 species